GUCCCCUGGGUUGCACUCCCUUGCCAGGCUCUUUUCUUUCUGAUCCAGCUUUCUUUGAACAUAUUUAUUUGCGUUUCACUCAACACGUGUCUCAAAUUGCAUCACCAGUUUAAUUUGAGUUUUAAGCUAAGAUGCUAGAGCUUUUCUCUUUCCUGUCCCAACAAGUACUCUUCAUUCAUGUCUUUAUUAAUUCUUCAGAUAACUAAACAGCAGCCAAGACUUUGAGGGAUGCAAAUUCGAAAGUGAUCCCUUUCCUGACUGCAAGGGUAGGAGAAUUAAGCAGAGGGAGAAACACACUAGCAAAGGCUGGAGAUGGAAAAGUACAGGACGAGAAGAGUGAGUCGUUUGCCUGGGUUGCAGCACUGCAUGCUCAGACGGGAGCACUGAGGAAUACAGCUGAACAGGUGCAUGACUUUCUGCCCAAUUACUUGUUUUCAACCCAUCAGAGCAAGUCAAGCAUGCAUCUCAGAAGUCUCACUGUCACACUUGGCCUAGGUUGCCCCCGUGCACUGUCUCUGUUCUCAGUAUUCUGCCUCUGCAUACCCACAGAACAAUAGCUCUAAGUUUCCCAGACCCUCGUGUGGAGGCUUGGUCAAAAGGCGAAACCUGAAGAAAUACUUUAGCACAGGAUGAAGGAGGAAGUGGCAGAAGGGUAAAACCAACCCCUGUCAAACUUCACCAAGUGGCUCUGCCCCGGACUCAGCUCCACCACAUCCUACUCUUAUUGGGAGGCCAAGCAAGAAGGACUAAGGUGACUGGGACCUGGGCAGUGGGAGAAUGGGCAGUGGGAGAAAGAUCAUGAGGAAGCAGAAGGGGCUUUGUUUUGGUCCAGGGAACCAAAUCCAGCACUAUAACCGCCACCAGUCCUGGGAGUCACUGGCAGAAAAAAUCAGAACAGGGAAUGCAAAGGUGCUGCUCUGCCUCUACUGAGCACCCCUCCCCAUCUCUAAGACUCAUUCUUAUAUUCUAUAAAAUGGGGAUUAUGACAUCCACCUGUGUGUCCUGUUGACCUGUUUGUAAAGGUAGAAUAAGGUAAGUGAGUAUGAAAGCACUUUAAACAUGUAAAGCACUAUAUUACAGGCUUUUUCUCACUCAACUGACCCUAGUCAUUAGGAUGGGUAGACAUGACAAGAAGGAAGAAGAAUGCAGAUGCC
rnacentral:lncRNA from 10 species